ensembl:lncRNA
CUAUGUUUUACAUAAUGUAUAGCCUUACUGUGAUAAUGUAGUCCAGAUUUGAAGAGUAUAGGUGUAGUGGUUUUCAAUCAGGACCGAUUUGAAGAUUCUAAGUGGUUUUCAAGCCGAAUCGGAUGCUGCGAAUCGGAUUCCAACUUCAGCGUCGUGGCUACGGGCAUGCCCGUAGCCCGACAUACCACUCGUAGCCAAUGCUAGCGGAGUAGCGCGUUGUUACAUUCUUAUGUGAAUGUAGGCUUUCGGUGCAAGAUAGCUAGAUAGUAAAAGUAAAAUAACGUCAAACUAAAGUGUUCUAUAGUGCUGACUGAUAGUCCAAGAGUGCAGUGCAGAAUAUUGUCAGUGUUAAAAGCAUUGCUGCAUCUGGACACAAAACUGAGAUCGCAUAGUAGCCUAUGAAUGGACUUUUUCUGAUUUUACAUGAAAUAAGCAUAGCUCAGAAGACUACCCAUAGUGCAUAUUAAAAAAUCGACUUGCUGGUUUAAAAGCAUUUAUUUUAAUCAGUGGUAUCUGUGUCUAAUGCUUGUGUGGUGUGACUGAGUUUUGACAAACAUACCGAACAGUACAUCACUAAGGACAGUGCUUUUAAAGGCUUCCUUGAAGCCUUUCCCUGCCCAGUUGAAGCGACACGCCAGGUUAUUUGUUAGGCCACUCUGCAACAUCCUUCUUACGGCCUCUUCUGCAGUGUGCCCUCCAAUUAGACUGAAUGUUAAGAUCUGACAAGACAUAAUAAACCAACAAACAAGUGAAACAUUGAUAAUUAUAACAUGUAUAAUUACAAUAUCUCCCAAAAGUGAAUAGGCCUACACCCCUCCCAUUUUUGCAAAUAUUUUAUUGUAUCUUUUCAUAGGAUAACCCUUGGCAUGAAACUUUAUUAUAACUUAAACUAGUCAUUAUACGUAUUGUAGAGAACUAUAGAUUUAUUGUCCUCAGAAUAUGACUAAAAACGCAUCCAUUAACAACUAAACAGCUGGCCACAUAACUGAGUACACUUAAUUAUGAACAUGACCAUUGCGCCCAUAGUGACAAUAAAUCUUAUCGUAAUCUACAAACUCUACACGGACUUCUUUAAGUUACAUCAAAGUUUCAUGUCUAUAGAGUUAUCCCAUGAGAAGAUACAUUAAAACAUUUGAAAAAAUGGCUAGGGUUUUGUGAGAUACUGUAUAUGUACCAAUUUAGGUUAGGUGAACUUCUCACUGUUUCACAUAAUGAGUAAUGUGUUAAUUUUGUUUUGAAAGAUAAUUCCUACAAAUACUGAGUGAUGUAGUGGAUGGCUGGAAAGAAGAGAGGCAGCUUGAUGGACGAAGCGGCAGCUUCUGGUGCUACCGGCCUCACCAUCUCUCUCCUAAGCGCCCUCACUUCACUCCCCAGAUUGUCGUGCUGUUUUUCUUGGGGGGGGUGGUGCCUCGUCAUCAGUGUCCACACCUUGAAGCAUAUUUAACUCUAAAGGUCUGCACCUUCAAAAAAGUGUUGCGGCGGGCCCGUAGUGGUCUGGACUCUUCCAGCUGGCUCCUGCAGGGUCUUCAGCCUCUGACUGUAUGUCUGAUGUUAAACACACUAACCAAGACCCUCACGUCACCGUGCACGUCCCACGCUGCACCUGGAGGAAGGUGGUGCGCGACUGCCUUCUGGAGGCGGAUAUGAUCAUAAGAACUAGGAGGCCAGAAACAAUUCCAUGACUCCCCUGCCUCCUCCAACCAGCUGCUUGGCACUAUGGUAGUGCUCCUAUCUUUGAAUUCGACGACCUUCCACACCUGUGCCAUCUGUCAA